UUGACAGUUGGUGGUUACCAUAGCAACCACUAACGGUCAGCUCCGCCCCCUUUAUUUUCGGUUGGCGUUUGAAACUGCGGUUUGUAUCAGGAUCAGCUCUGUGUUUUCGUUACAGAGUAAAUAUCUAACAAUCUGAGUGUUUCUGUCGUGAACCUACUGGACCUCAGAUGAACAUCGAAGGGCUACUUAGACAUGCGAGCAAAUAAAAUGUACAGUAUUCUUGUUAAAGCUGGGAACAUAAA